GCAAAGCAUAUGCAAAUCACCCAGAAGAGAGACACAACAUCCACGGAAUGUCAGAAGAGACCUUGGAGAUGAUCCAGCCCACGCCCCCUCAUUUCACAGGUGAGGAAAGCGGCCCGCACCAGGCAGGGACUUGCUCAAGGUCACUGGGACAUUUGGGUGCUGAGGAAGAAUGGGAACGAGGUGUCUUUACUCAGAGUCCAGUGCUCUUUCCGGAGGGUCUUGUCCUUUAUAUGGGAGGUGGACAAGGUGGCAAAGAGGGCACAGGGCCUAAAUGGGGCUCCAGGAAGGCCUACCAGAGACUGGGGGUGAGGGGCAGGGAUAAGGCGAAGGGCUUCUCAGACCCUUCCCUUCCCACCUCUGAGCCUGGAAACGGUGGUGGCAGUGAUGGGAAGAGUGGACAAGGGCGGCAGCGAUGUCUGGGACCGCGUGUGGCUAGAGGGGCAGAGGGGCCUGAAGCCAGAGGCGCUGGUUUCCGGCAGCCAAGCAGCAGAAGGCGGCAGGAGAACUGGAGUGUCUGAAGCCCAGUGUCAGGGCAAGGUGCCCGCUGUGGUGCGGGGAGGGGGACAGCGCCCUUCACUACACACACAUCUCUAAGUGCUCAGCAGCCCCUUCCGCUCGGACUCUGAUAACUAUGGCACCUGACAGACCAUAAUAGUCAACCCAGGCCUGUCCCUCCAAUGGCUGCGGCUGCCCUCCACCCACCCCACCCCACCCCCAACUUGGCUUCUCAACCUUCCAGACAGUCCUAGAAAGCAGGACCAAUGCUGGGGGGAGGAAGGCAAACAGAUGGGAGGGGGCAGACAGAGUGAGGAAAGGGGAGACAAGGUGGGGAGAGAGAGAGUGAAGUGCAGAGCAGGAGAAACUGAGGGGUAGAGAGAGGGGAGGCAGGGGAGGAAGGGGGGCAGACUGAAGGGCAGAGCGGAGAGGGGAGGGUGGGGAUGGUGGGAGCAGCGGAGCAGAGAGGGAGGGCUCCCGGCCUCUGGACUGAAGGACAAAGCUGGGGCCUGGGUAUCAGGCAUAGGAGCCCCAUCGAGGCCUGGAGGCUGUCUGGCAGGAGUUGGGGACCAGGCCCCUGCCCCUCUGCCCACCUCCCCGGCGAUUCCAGGGGUUGCCAGGAAAUCAGUCCCUCCUCCUCUGCCUCCCUCCCUCCCUCCCUCUCUCCCUCGGGGCAGCAGCCAAAUCCAAAGCCUUCAUCUCUGCUUUUCAGAGCUGGGAAUGAAAGAAGGGGAAGCGAGUGCAGCCCUCAAACCCGCUGACGGCCAGAUUUUUAUUAUCUUUGCUCGAAUGGGCCCUAGGAAGCCAACAAGGGAUUCUUCAAAGAGCAUCUGAGUGGCUCAUUGAAGCCUGCACCUGCACCAGCCCACCCACGGCAGUCCGCCGGGGCUUGGGGGGCACAAGCUGUCCCCCACCUCCCACCAAGUCCAGAGACCAGACUCGAGGCUGCUAGAAGCCUCACCCUCAGCUCUCUGUGCCUAGGCAGGGGCCACUCGGUCAGGAAGCCAGGCUCAAAAGCCACACCCAGGCCUGCUGGGCCUCUGAGGCAGUCCCUGUCCCUCUCUGUGCCUUGAGGACACGAGUAAAAGAAGAAAUUGGAUCUCCUUGCCAGGGCUGGAGGAGAUAAGUGCUUGGGAUU
rnacentral:lncRNA from 1 species